rnacentral:tRNA from 1 species
GGAGUAUAGCUUAGUGGUAGAGUGUGUGCUUAUCCUGCAGAAAGUCCUGGGUUCAAUCCCCAGUGCCUCCA